AAUUUUCCGCAAUGGGCGAAAGCCUGACGGAGCAACGCCGCGUGAGGGAAGAAGGUCUUCGGAUCGUAAACCUUUGUCUUUGGGGACGAUAAUGACGGUACCCAAGGCGGAAGCCACGGCUAACUACGUGCCAGCAGCCGCGGUAAUACGUAGGUGGCGAGCGUUGUCCGGAAUUACUGGGCGUAAAGGGCGUGUAGGCGGCUAUUUAAGUCAGAUGUGAAAUCCCAGGGCUUAACCCUGGAACUGCAUUUGAGACUGGAUGGCUUGAGGAUCGGAGAGGGAAGUGGAAUUCCCAGUGUAGCGGUGAGAUGCGUAGAUAUUGGGAGGAACACCAGUGGCGAAGGCGACUGCCUGGACGACACCUGACGCUGAGGCGCGAAAGCUAGAGGAGCAAACAGG
rnacentral:rRNA from 1 species